UGAGGGAAGAAGCUGCGGGCAGAGUGGGAAGGCAAGCCUUGGAGCCAUGUGCAGCAGGCUUGUCUGGGGACCCGUCAUUUCUAUUGGGUUGUCAGGGGAUUCGGGGGAGGUUCUGGUUGGUGCGGCCCUAACCCAGGCCAAAUUCGGGACUUCUGGAGGUGGGGGAUGUUCUGAGGGUGAACUCGGAGGCUGGGGCGGCGCCAUGUGCAAGCUCCUGGAAUUUGCUAUUCCUACCCCCUCACCCCACCCUCUUUUCUGUCUUGCUCCUCCAGCCUGCGCGCGGGCAGCUGCGGCACGGGAAAAGCUCGGAGUCUUUAAAACCUCUGCAUGGGGUGGAAGCGAAGCCGGGUUUGUUGGAGGUGGCGGAGCGAAGGCAGAGGAGAAGGCAUGGAGGGACCUUCAAUCUGGACAAACGAAGCCUAAGACAUCGGCCUAGAGGUAUCUGUUCAGCGCUCUUUCCCCUAGAAAGAUGUGUCUAAGACACGCAGCCCAAAUGCAUGUAUGUAACAGAGACUGACAGAGUCGCAGCUCAGUUUCCUUUCCAAAAGAGGAACGUCUCCUUUAAGGAGGGAGCCCUGGGCUACCCUGAGGGGCGGGACACCCUGUGCAAAUUGAGACAGCUGCAGAAGCGGCUCGCGAGCGAUGCUCUUCUUCACUUUCUGCUCCAGCUCCCGCCGCCGCUGCUACUCUUUCCCCACCUCCUCCUCUUCCUCCUCCUCUUCUUUCUCUUCCUCCUCCUCUUCCUUCUCCUCCUCCUCCUGCAGCUUGCUCCGGAGCUUUUGUUUUCCGGCGCCGAGGAAAGAGCUGCUAUGUCCGGAAAGUUCCCAGAGGGAUCGGCUCAGGCCACGCUGCUUGGGCUCCGCUGGGAUUCCCCGGGCUUUGUCCUUUGUCCGAGUUAGACAAACUGCUGUGGAAGAUGGAAUGCCUCUGUUUUCAGGUGUGUAUUUCCAACCUGACCAAAUGGAACCUGCUGAUCUGUGAUGAAAUGUUUCAAGCAUCCCUGUGUCUUGGGUUGAACAUU
rnacentral:lncRNA from 1 species